GUGAGUGCACGUAUGGAACCUGCCCGCCACGGGGGGAUAACCCGGGGAAACCCGGCCUAAUACCCCAUGCCGCCCGGACCGGGCAUCCGGACCGGGCGAAAGGAGGAAUCCGGUGGCGGCUGGGCAUGCGGCGCAUUAGCUUGACGGCGGGGUAACGGCCCACCGUGGCGACGAUGCGUAGGGGUUCUGAGAGGAAGGCCCCCCACACUGGAACUGAGACACGGUCCAGACUCCUACGGGAGGCAGCAGUGGGGAAUAUUGGUCAAUGGGCGGAAGCCUGAACCAGCCAAGUCGCGUGAGGGAAUAAGGCCCUACGGGUCGUAAACCUCUUUUGCCGGGGAGCAAGGGCCGGGACGAGUCCCGGUCCGGAGAGUACCCGGAGAAAAAGCAUCGGCUAACUCCGUGCCAGCAGCCGCGGUAAUACGGAGGAUGCGAGCGUUAUCCGGAUUUAUUGGGUUUAAAGGGUGCGUAGGCGGGCUUUUAAGUCAGCGGUAAAAAUUCGGGGCUCAACCCCGUCCGGCCGUUGAAACUGGGGGCCUUGAGUGGGCGAGAAGAAGGCGGAAUGCGUGGUGUAGCGGUGAAAUGCAUAGAUAUCACGCAGAACCCCGAUUGCGAAGGCAGCCUUCCGGCGCCCUACUGACGCUGAGGCACGAAAGUGCGGGGAUCGAACAGGAUUAGAUACCCUGGUAGUCCGCACAGUAAACGAUGGAUGCCAGCUGUCCGGGCCGAAUGGGGCCUGGGUGGCAAAGCG
rnacentral:rRNA from 1 species